GAAUUAUUUCGCAUUGAUGUGGUGUAUCAACUAAACACAGAAGAAAAGAAAAGAAAAAGAUGCUGCUAUUUAUCAAGAUGAAUAAAAUAGUCCUCAACAGAGAGACUGAAGAAGAAGCCAUUAGAAAAUGUGUUCUGUUAAAAUAAAGGAGUAAAUUCAGAAAGUAAAUUCAAAAAUGAAUAAUCAGGUAAUAAUGUAUUCAACACAAAGGAAGUAUGGAGAGGAUUCCCAGGAUGACAGAUGUGUGGCAGGCAAGAGAGGAAUAGUAUAGACUAAAACAGUAGGGUUGAGGAUUUAAAGAAGGAGAUCUCCAUGAAAAAGAACACAGCUAUUAUAUACUGACCAUGGAAAACCAGAUCUCCACCCCACUUGGGUCAGUCACUAACCGUGGGAUCACAUGCGUUCUACCAAAGCUCCAAAGUCCAGAAAAAGAGUGACAAUGUUGGACUUUACCCAAGCCCUAUACUUCCGGAAAACAUCGGAGAUUAGGAAGGAAAUCCUCCUAAUAAUAUUAUGCUAGGGGCGCCAGGGUGGCUCCAUUGGAGAAGUGUAAGACUUGAUUUUGACGCAAGUCAUUGGCACGUGAAACAAGCUUCUUCACUCUCAAAGAUCCUUCUUGAGAACUGACUGAACACAAAGACAGAUAUUUCCUGCUGAGCUGUCCCAUCACCCCACCUGCCCAUCUCACUCCCCUACACCUGGCCUUACCUGUCUUUGUCUGCUCUUCCCUAUCAAAGAAGAUCCUUUUCCUGCCUAAUCAUUGAAGCAUUUAUAGGUCUGAUGGUUGGGGCAUUUUCCCUAUUUGCAAUUGUUACUCUUCUCUUCUCUAUUCCAGCAGUCUUUUCAAAUAAAGCCUCUCCUUUAGGUCUAAAUUUGUUUUUUGUUUGAUAAAGUUGCCUCUCCCCCUGGAGCCUCUUGGUAAAACAUAGGCUUCCUCUGAUCCUCUUCUCUUUCAUUUUUAAUGUGCCAUGUAAAUUCAACUCUGUUAAUUUCAGGGCAUAUCUACUGUGAUUAUGCCAAGUGCUAAAUUUGCUUGAUAAAAUUGUGGAUGAAAAUGUUAGCAGUCUGUCUUUUCAAUUUUUUUUUGAAAAUUUAUUAAGUAUCAGGGACUUACCCUCUUUAAUCUCUAUGACAACACAGUAGAGUAGA